AACGAACGCUGGCGGCGUGGAUAAGACAUGCAAGUCGAACGGAUCAUCUUCUGCAGCAAUGUAGGAGGUAGUCAGUGGCGCAAGGGUGCGUAACACGUGGGCAACCUGCCCGGAAGUGGGGGAUAGCUCGCCGAAAGGCGAAUUAAUACCGCAUGAGGCUAGGGAAGACAUCUUCCUGAGGCCAAAGUUGGCGCAAGCUAACGCUUCUGGAUGGGCCCGCGGCCUAUCAGCUAGUUGGUGAGGUAACGGCUCACCAAGGCGAUGACGGGUAGCUGGUCUGAGAGGACGACCAGCCACACUGGAACUGAGACACGGCCCAGACACCUACGGGUGACAGCAGUCGAGAAUUUUUCUCAAUGGGGGAAACCCUGAAGGAGCGACGCCGCGUGGAGGAUGAAGGUCUUCGGAUUGUAAACUCCUGUCAUUGGUGAACAAGGCCCACUCAGUAACUGGGGUUGGGUUUGAUAGUAGCCGAAGAGGAAGAGACGGCUAACUCUGUGCCAGCCGCCGCUGUAA
rnacentral:rRNA from 1 species